rnacentral:rRNA from 1 species
GUGGGGAAUAUUGGACAAUGGGCGAAAGCCUGAUCCAGCCAUGCCGCGUGUGUGAAGAAGGUCUUCGGAUUGUAAAGCACUUUAAGUUGGGAGGAAGGGCAGUAAGUUAAUACCUUGCUGUUUUGACGUUACCGACAGAAUAAGCACCGGCUAACUUCGUGCCAGCAGCCGCGGUAAUACGAAGGGUGCAAGCGUUAAUCGGAAUUACUGGGCGUAAAGCGCGCGUAGGUGGUUUUGUAAGUUGGAGGUGAAAUCCCCGGGCUCAAACUGGGAACUGCCUCCAAAACUGCAUGACUAGAGUACGGUAGAGGGUAGUGGAAUUUCCUGUGUAGCGGUGAAAUGCGUAGAUAUAGGAAGGAACACCAGUGGCGAAGGCGACUACCUGGACUGAUACUGACACUGAGGUGCGAAAGCGUGGGGAGCAAACAGGAUUAGAUACCCUUGUAGUCC